ACGAGCUCUCCAAACGUUAUUCGGUAUUACUGGGCUUAAAGAGUUCGUAGGCGGCUCUGUAGGUGAGAUGUGAAAGCCCUCGGCUUAACCGAGGAACUGCGUUUCAAACCACAGGGCUUGAGGGAGAUAGGGGUAAGCGGAACAGAUGGUGGAGCGGUGAAAUGCAUUGAUAUCAUCUGGAACACCGGUGGCGAAGGCGGCUUACUGGGUCUUUUCUGACGCUGAGGAACGAAAGCUAGGGUAGCGAACGGGAUUAGAUACCCCGGUAGUCCUAGCCGUAAACGAUGAGCACUAGUCUGAGGGACUCUCACAGUUUCUCGGACGUAGCGAAAGUGUUAAGUGCUCCGCCUGGGGAGUAUGGUCGCAAGGCUG
rnacentral:rRNA from 1 species